rnacentral:rRNA from 1 species
UGGCGAACGGGUGAGUAACACGUGGGUAACCUACAUAUUAGCAGGGGAUAACAUUUGGAAACAAGUGCUAAUACCGUAUAAUACCAACAACCGCAUGGUUGUUGGUUGAAAGAUGGUUCUGCUAUCACUAAGAGAUGGACCCGCGGUGCAUUAGCUAGUUGGUAAGGUAACGGCUUACCAAGGCAAUGAUGCAUAGCCGAGUUGAGAGACUGAUCGGCCACAAUGGGACUGAGACACGGCCCAUACUCCUACGGGAGGCAGCAGUAGGGAAUCUUCCACAAUGGGCGCAAGCCUGAUGGAGCAACGCCGCGUGUGUGAUGAAGGGUUUCGGCUCGUAAAACACUGUUAUAAGAGAAGAACGGCACUGAGAGUAACUGUUCAGUGUGUGACGGUAUCUUACCAGAAAGGAACGGCUAAAUACGUGCCAGCAGCCGCGGUAAUACGUAUGUUCCAAGCGUUAUCCGGAUUUAUUGGGCGUAAAGCGAGCGCAGACGGUUAUUUAAGUCUGAAGUGAAAGCCCUCAGCUCAACUGAGGAAUGGCUUUGGAAACUGGAUGACUUGAGUGCAGUAGAGGAAAGUGGAACUCCAUGUGUAGCGGUGAAAUGCGUAGAUAUAUGGAAGAACACCAGUGGC